rnacentral:rRNA from 1 species
AUUGAACGCUGGCGGCAUGCCUUACACAUGCAAGUCGAACGGUAACAGGUCUUCGGAUGCUGACGAGUGGCGAACGGGUGAGUAAUACAUCGGAACGUGCCCGAGAGUGGGGGAUAACGAGGCGAAAGCUUUGCUAAUACCGCAUACGAUCUCAGGAUGAAAGCAGGGGACCGCAAGGCCUUGCGCUCACGGAGCGGCCGAUGGCAGAUUAGGUAGUUGGGGGGAUAAAAGCUUACCAAGCCGACGAUCUGGAGCUGGUCUGAGAGGACGACCAGCCCCACGGGGACUGAGACACGGCCCAGACUCCGACGGGAGGCAGCAGUGGGGAAUUUUGGACAAUGGGCGCAAGCCUGAUCCAGCCAUGCCGCGUGCAGGAUGAAGGCCUUCGGGUUGUAAACUGCUUUUGUACGGAACGAAAAGACUCUGGUUAAUACCUGGGGUCCAUGACGGUACCGUAAGAAUAAGCACCGGCUAACUACGUGCCAGCCGCCGCAGUAAAAC